rnacentral:rRNA from 1 species
CCUACGUGAGGCAGCAGUGAGGAAUAUUGGUCAAUGGGCGCGAGCCUGAACCAGCCAAGUCGCGUGAGGGAAGACGGUCCUAUGGAUUGUACACCUCUUUUGUAGGGGAGCAAAAGACGCCACGCGUGGCGUUCCGAGAGUACCCGAAGAAAAAGCAUCGGCUCACUCCGUGCCAGCGGCCGCGGUAAUACGGAGGAUGCGAGCGUUCUCCGGAUGUAUUGGGUUUAAAGGGUGCGCAGGCGGAAGAUCAAGUCAGCGGUAAAAUUGAGAGGCUCAACCUCUUCGGGCCGUUGAACCUGGUUGUCUUGAGUGAGCGAGAGGUAUGCGGAAGGCGUGGUGUAGCGGUGAAAUGCAUAGAUAUCACGCAGAACUCCGAUUGCGAAGGCAGCAUACCGGCGCUCAACUGACGCUCAUGCACGAAAGUGUGGGUAUCGAACAGGAUUAGAUACCCCAGUAGUC